rnacentral:lncRNA from 1 species
AUGAUAACCAAUAAUAAAGAAAACACAGAGCUAUUCAAUAUUAAUUUUGCUUCUGUUUUCUCUGCCAGGGAGACAGAUCUUAGGACUGGAAAGGACAGAAUGAAGAUCACUAGGAAAAUGUGUCAACUAAAAAGGAAAAAAAAAACUCUUUGUAACAAGUAUGCAUGAGAAACUCUCC